UACGUAGGGUGCAAGCGUUGUCCGGAAUUAUUGGGCGUAAAGAGCUCGUAGGCGGUCUGUCGCGUCUGCUGUGAAAAACUCGGGACUUAACCCCGGGCCUGCAGUGGGUACGGGCAGACUAGAGUGCGGUAGGGGAGACUGGAAUUCUGGUGUAGCGGUGAAAUGCGCAGAUAUCAGGAGGAACACCGGUGGCGAAGGCGGGUCUCUGGGCCGAUACUGACGCUGAGACGCGAAAGCGUGGGGGAGCGAACAGG
rnacentral:rRNA from 1 species